AUGGGCAGCGUGGCUGCUGCUUGGGCAAAUGGCUUCGAGCUCCCGUUCCAGGCGGGGCUGGGCCCGUUUGACAGCUUGGCGGGCUCUGGGAGGGCAGCCGCUCUGGGCUUCGGGCUUCCCUGCGCGGGGGUCAGCGCCAGGGAGGGUUUCCCUCUCUCGGGCGAGCAGGGCCGCCUGCAAAAGCGCCUCCGGGGGAGCCAAGGCCCGCUUGCCCCUGGAUCUGCGCCCGGGCAGGGCCGGCAGCCGCCAUCAGAGGCGCUCGAGGACGCCCGCCCUCUGCCGGAUCGCACCAGCGGCUGCACCUUAGGAGGUCCCGGGUCCCCGGCGAAGGAUGCAACCCUCCUCCCACGCGUGGCCCCGAUGGCCGGACGCCUCGUUCCGCACGGGCGGGCGGAGGCCCGGAUCCCCCGCUUCCAGGGGAAGCGCCUCCCUUGGCACCUGCUGGCGGCGCGGCUGCCUGCCAUUCAAUUGAACUGGAACCCGGAGCCGCUCUCGGCCCUUUGCCGACGCCCAGCCGGGCUCGAGUCCACUUUUGGGGAUGCGCCAGACGACGAAAGCAGCCCAACCGUCCGAAGGCGGCUCUCUUCCCGGGGGGACAAGGCAAAGGAGGCGGCCUCGCCCGCCGCGGCGCUUGCCCCCCGACGGGCCUCCGGCAGAGGGCGGGCGGGCAGCCCAAGGCAGGCGCCUGGGCCGGGCGCUGGCGGGGAAAGCGGGUUGGGCCUCCCCCGCCGCCCCGCCCAGCGCCGAGCGGAGGAGACGCGCCCACGGGGAGCCCUCGCAGCCCGCCCGCCCCGCAGCUCCUCCUCCCGCCGCCGCCUGCGCAAAGCCGCCGCCGCCGCCGCCGCCCCGGCCAGGACGACUCCUCCCGGCGAGCUCCGGCAGAGGGAAACCUUGCCGCCCGCGGGUCCGGAGCCUCUGCCGUCCCGCCGCGCCGUCGGCAGAGAUGCCGCUGUAGAGCCGCCGCCGUCCGCACAGGGCCCGGCAUGUCUCCAGCGCUGCUGGCGCUCUGGCUGUGGCUGGGCUCGGGCGGGGCGCGCGGCCCGGGAGGCACCCCGGCGGGCUCUUGCCGCUGCACGGCGCGCUGCCCGGGCCGGCGGCGGCGGCGGCGGCAGGACGGGCGCGGCGCUCGGCCGAGGAGGAGCGGGAGCCAGGCCGCCGCCGCCGCGCCAGCAGCAGCAGCAGCGGCAGCAGCUUCGUGGCCAUGGUGGACAACCUGCGCGGCAAGUCGGGGCAGGGCUACUACGUGGAGAUGACGGUGGGCAGCCCCCCGCAGAAGCUGAAUAUCCUGGUGGACACUGGAAGCAGCAACUUUGCUGUGGGCGCAGCCCCUCAUCAGUUCCUGCAGCGAUACUAUCAGCGCCAGCUCUCCAGCACCUACCGGGACCUGCAGAAGGGAGUCUAUGUGCCCUACACGCAAGGAAAAUGGGAGGGAGAGCUGGGCACUGA
rnacentral:lncRNA from 1 species